rnacentral:lncRNA from 1 species
GGGAUCACUAACAAAUGUGUUUUUUCUGGUUAUCAUAGUUGGAUGAUUUACCUGAAAACUCACCAAUCAAUAUAGUUCAGACUCCAAUUCCUAUUACCACCUCAGUUCCCAAACGUGCAAAAAGUCAGAAGAAGAAAGCUUUAGCAGCAGCCCUUGCCACAGCUCAAGAGUAUUCAGAAAUAAGUAUGGAGCAAAAAAAAUUACAGGAAGCUUUAUCAAAAGCAGCUGGAAAAAAGAAUAAAACACCUGUGCAGCUAGAUUUAGGGGACAUGUUAGCUGCUCUGGAAAAACAACAGCAAGCAAUGAAAGCACGGCAAAUUACUAACACCAGACCUCUGUCAUAUACAGGUGAUAUCAUUAGUCUGAGCAAUUUGCUGUUUGUCUCUGCUAAUAUAUGUUAGAUGUUGUUAAUCGAAAUUUUUAAAAUUUUAUAUAUGUAUGUGUAUAUAUAUGUGUGUGUGUGUGUAUAUAU